AUCUUAUCACGAGAGGUGGAGGGACUGGCCCUAUGAAACCCGGCAACCGGCAGAUUCCUAGCUUCUGCAAUGGUGCCAAUUCCUGCAGAACAUGCUGUUCUGGCAGAUAAGAG
rfam:Clostridium ultunense Esp genomic scaffold, CTLT_3033